GGGUUGUGAGGUUAAGCGACUAAGCGUACACGGUGGAUGCCCUGGCAGUCAGAGGCGAUGAAGGACGUGCUAAUCUGCGAUAAGCGUCGGUAAGGUGAUAUGAACCGUUAUAACCGGCGAUUUCCGAAUGGGGAAACCCAGUGUGUUUCGACACACUAUCAUUAACUGAAUCCAUAGGUUAAUGAGGCGAACCGGGGGAACUGAAACAUCUAAGUACCCCGAGGAAAAGAAAUCAACCGAGAUUCCCCCAGUAGCGGCGAGCGAACGGGGAGCAGCCCAGAGCCUGAAUCAGUGUGUGUGUUAGUGGAAGCGUCUGGAAAGGCGCGCGAUACAGGGUGACAGCCCCGUACACAAAAAUGCACAUGCUGUGAGCUCGAUGAGUAGGGCGGGACACGUGGUAUCCUGUCUGAAUAUGGGGGGACCAUCCUCCAAGGCUAAAUACUCCUGACUGACCGAUAGUGAACCAGUACCGUGAGGGAAAGGCGAAAAGAACCCCGGCGAGGGGAGUGAAAAAGAACCUGAAACCGUGUACGUACAAGCAGUGGGAGCACGCUUAGGCGUGUGACUGCGUACCUUUUGUAUAAUGGGUCAGCGACUUAUAUUCUGUAGCAAGGUUAACCGAAUAGGGGAGCCGAAGGGAAACCGAGUCUUAACUGGGCGUUAAGUUGCAGGGUAUAGACCCGAAACCCGGUGAUCUAGCCAUGGGCAGGUUGAAGGUUGGGUAACACUAACUGGAGGACCGAACCGACUAAUGUUGAAAAAUUAGCGGAUGACUUGUGGCUGGGGGUGAAAGGCCAAUCAAACCGGGAGAUAGCUGGUUCUCCCCGAAAGCUAUUUAGGUAGCGCCUCGUGAAUUCAUCUCCGGGGGUAGAGCACUGUUUCGGCAAGGGGGUCAUCCCGACUUACCAACCCGAUGCAAACUGCGAAUACCGGAGAAUGUUAUCACGGGAGACACACGGCGGGUGCUAACGUCCGUCGUGAAGAGGGAAACAACCCAGACCGCCAGCUAAGGUCCCAAAGUCAUGGUUAAGUGGGAAACGAUGUGGGAAGGCCCAGACAGCCAGGAUGUUGGCUUAGAAGCAGCCAUCAUUUAAAGAAAGCGUAAUAGCUCACUGGUCGAGUCGGCCUGCGCGGAAGAUGUAACGGGGCUAAACCAUGCACCGAAGCUGCGGCAGCGACGCUGAUGCGUUGUUGGGUAGGGGAGCGUUCUGUAAGCCUGCGAAGGUGUGCUGUGAGGCAUGCUGGAGGUAUCAGAAGUGCGAAUGCUGACAUAAGUAACGAUAAAGCGGGUGAAAAGCCCGCUCGCCGGAAGACCAAGGGUUCCUGUCCAACGUUAAUCGGGGCAGGGUGAGUCGACCCCUAAGGCGAGGCCGAAAGGCGUAGUCGAUGGGAAACAGGUUAAUAUUCCUGUACUUGGUGUUACUGCGAAGGGGGGACGGAGAAGGCUAUGUUGGCCGGGCGACGGUUGUCCCGGUUUAAGCGUGUAGGCUGGUUUUCCAGGCAAAUCCGGAAAAUCAAGGCUGAGGCGUGAUGACGAGGCACUACGGUGCUGAAGCAACAAAUGCCCUGCUUCCAGGAAAAGCCUCUAAGCAUCAGGUAACAUCAAAUCGUACCCCAAACCGACACAGGUGGUCAGGUAGAGAAUACCAAGGCGCUUGAGAGAACUCGGGUGAAGGAACUAGGCAAAAUGGUGCCGUAACUUCGGGAGAAGGCACGCUGAUAUGUAGGUGAAGUCCCUCGCGGAUGGAGCUGAAAUCAGUCGAAGAUACCAGCUGGCUGCAACUGUUUAUUAAAAACACAGCACUGUGCAAACACGAAAGUGGACGUAUACGGUGUGACGCCUGCCCGGUGCCGGAAGGUUAAUUGAUGGGGUCAGCGCAAGCGAAGCUCUUGAUCGAAGCCCCGGUAAACGGCGGCCGUAACUAUAACGGUCCUAAGGUAGCGAAAUUCCUUGUCGGGUAAGUUCCGACCUGCACGAAUGGCGUAAUGAUGGCCAGGCUGUCUCCACCCGAGACUCAGUGAAAUUGAACUCGCUGUGAAGAUGCAGUGUACCCGCGGCAAGACGGAAAGACCCCGUGAACCUUUACUAUAGCUUGACACUGAACAUUGAGCCUUGAUGUGUAGGAUAGGUGGGAGGCUUUGAAGUGUGGACGCCAGUCUGCAUGGAGCCGGCCUUGAAAUACCACCCUUUAAUGUUUGAUGUUCUAACGUGGACCCGUAAUCCGGGUUGCGGACAGUGUCUGGUGGGUAGUUUGACUGGGGCGGUCUCCUCCUAAAGAGUAACGGAGGAGCACGAAGGUUGGCUAAUCCUGGUCGGACAUCAGGAGGUUAGUGCAAUGGCAUAAGCCAGCUUGACUGCGAGCGUGACGGCGCGAGCAGGUGCGAAAGCAGGUCAUAGUGAUCCGGUGGUUCUGAAUGGAAGGGCCAUCGCUCAACGGAUAAAAGGUACUCCGGGGAUAACAGGCUGAUACCGCCCAAGAGUUCAUAUCGACGGCGGUGUUUGGCACCUCGAUGUCGGCUCAUCACAUCCUGGGGCUGAAGUAGGUCCCAAGGGUAUGGCUGUUCGCCAUUUAAAGUGGUACGCGAGCUGGGUUUAGAACGUCGUGAGACAGUUCGGUCCCUAUCUGCCGUGGGCGCUGGAGAACUGAGGGGGGCUGCUCCUAGUACGAGAGGACCGGAGUGGACGCAUCACUGGUGUUCGGGUUGUCAUGCCAAUGGCACUGCCCGGUAGCUAAAUGCGGAAGAGAUAAGUGCUGAAAGCAUCUAAGCACGAAACUUGCCCCGAGAUGAGUUCUCCCUGACUCCUUGAGAGUCCUGAAGGAACGUUGAAGACGACGACGUUGAUAGGCCGGGUGUGUAAGCGCAGCGAUGCGUUGAGCUAACCGGUACUAAUGAACCGUGAGGCUUAACCUUACAACGCCGAAG
rnacentral:rRNA from 1 species